CAGUUUUCACCCACCUUUUUUUAAUAGUUAUCAAAAAUUGAGGUAAUUUGUAGUUUGUCACAGAAAAAAUGAGCAGAUUCGGUUGAGAAACGCCGGAGAUAUAGCUCUCUGAAGUUGAUUAUUUUGUAUGAAAAAACGGCUUUGGUGCAUUUUAUAUGUCCGAUACUGUAUAUCUCAAGUAUUCUCAACUACACUGAAACUAAUGUUGCAGUAAUUACAACCACGGUAUGGUUUUUAAAAUUACUAUUCAGAAUUAUGUAUAAAUUGAACAUGUGUGUCUUCAUAAGUACUGAAAUAUUGUUAAAAUUACUAUACGAGCGAAGGAUAAAUCUUACUAUCACGUUGAGUCAAAAACACUAUUUUCCUGCAUUGGCGAUAAAUAUAAGAUCGUUAAUUUUUAAUAAACAAUGUUGUCAUUUUUACCAUGCGCACGGUAAUUUGAACAACAGAACGUGGUGAUAAUGUCUCUAUCAACUUGGCUGUUUUUCUCCGUCAGCUUGUGAAGGAUUAUUAUCAGAGCGGACAUAAAAAGUAUUAUUUUUAGUGUUUUGGACGUAAUAUUAAACUAUGUUUUCAUAGUAUUUUACCCAUGCUGCUAUUUAUCAAGAGUUGGUAAGAAAUAAUGAAAUUCAAUUUACAAAUAUAUAACAAUUCGCCAAACAACUAGUUUUCAUUUUGCAGAUUACACCGAGAAACUUCCUGGACUAAAAGUGAUCCAAAAUUUAAUGAAGACAAAUCAAUUCUUCUGUUAUUGAAAAUUCGAGCGAUGAGGAGCAGCUGCUGCAUGUGCCGCCAUGUUCGAUCAGAGAUAGAAGAAGGCAAAUACGGGCAAAAAAUUCACUAUCGGACUCCACUGCAUCCAAAAUUGUUGUUUAUUAAUGGACUAAAACCGCAGUAAAUUAUCAUAGAAAUUAUUCUUUAAUAAAUAAAUACGAUUUAUGUAAUUG